GCUCGAGUGGCGAACGGGUGAGUAACACGUGAGUAACCUGCCCUUGACUUUGGGAUAACUUCAGGAAACUGGGGCUAAUACCGGAUAGGAGCUCCUGCUGCAUGGUGGGGGUUGGAAAGUUUCGGCGGUUGGGGAUGGACUCGCGGCUUAUCAGCUUGUUGGUGGGGUAGUGGCUUACCAAGGCUUCGACGGGUAGCCGGCCUGAGAGGGUGACCGGCCACAUUGGGACUGAGAUACGGCCCAG
rnacentral:rRNA from 1 species